UAUUUCCCACUUCCCAAACGCCACCGUACUGUCGAGUCACAGAGAGAGAGCCAAACCACACGUCCACUCCACGCACGCCAGAACAGCGACGCCAUGACCUCCCCGGCGGUCCUGGCGCCGCCGCUUGACAACGAGGAUCUCCUCUCCUUGAUCCUCGUCCGCCUCCCGCCGCUGGCAUCCUCCUUCUCCAGCCCCGCCCUCGUCUGCAAGCGCUGACACUGCCUCGUCCGGGACCCGGAUUUCCUCCGCCGCUUGCGCGCAUUUCAUCGAACACCUCCCGUGCUCGGCUUCUUCCACAACUCCCCGGACUCCCCCCGCUUCGUGGCCACCCAGGGCAUUUCCGGCGUACGAAUUGCCACCGCGGUGCGGGAUCUCCGGAGGGACGGCGCCGGCGGCAUGUGGUGGUUCGUCGACUGCCGCCACGGUCGCGCCCUUCUCCGCAGUCGCGACUGGGUCGAUCUGCUCGUCUGGGAUCCCAUCAUCGGCCACCUCGUAUUAAUCACCGUCCCCGACCAGGUGCGGGCAGGCGCGUCCGACUGUAACGCCGCGGUCCUCUGCCCAUCAGGCACCACUGGCUGCGGGGGCGCUUUCCGCUCCAGCCCCUUCAGUGUGGUUGUCGUGUUCACCAGAAGACACUGCGCCUUCGCCUGCGUGUACUCGUCGCUGACCCGAGCGUGGGGUGAGCUGGUCUCCAUGCCGACGCCAUCACAGGAAUGUGAGCUCGCGGAGGAGCCUGGCGCCUUUGUUGGGGAUGCAAUGUAUUGGCUAUUUGGCGAGAGCAGCAUACUUGAGUUUCGACUGGGUGACCAAAAAUUAGCUCUUGUUGAGCGCCCCUUGGAGAUAUUUUCUAUCUACAGGCGGAACAUCCGUGUUCUGAGGUUCGAAGGCAGCGUGCUUGGCCUUGCUGCUGUGAGGAAUUUCAGCCUGCAUCUUUGGGCACGGGAGGCUGACCAUUGUGGCACUGCAAAGUGGGUGCUGCACAGAGCAAUUGAACUCUGCACACUCCUUGAACUGCCAUUGACGCAGCCUCGUGUGGGUUCCAUUCCUGUCUGGAUAAGUGGGCUUGGUGAGGACGGCGAUGUAGUUUUUCUACGGACUAUAGUCGGCAUGUUCGUGCUUUGGCCUGAGACUAUGCAGUUCAAGAUGGUCACUAACAACGUACUCAUGAAGACAGUUUAUCCUUAUGCUAAAUUUUAUUUUCCAAAAGGCUAAAAUCUAGUUGCAUUGGAGGUAGCUUUCUGUUGCUGGUCAGGUGUGACUGAGGUAGCAAUAGGCCUUUGAUCUGGAUGGUGUUUGCUGGGAUUAAGUAUUGAAGAAAUUUGAUAACUGCGGUAACGGUUAUAAACUUCUGCCUUAUUGGGACACUUUUAGGAUGCUACCAUUACAUGAUUGCAGCCUUCAUUUCUACAUCAUUAGUUUUAACUUGACACAUUUGUUUUUUCUUUGAAUGCAAGUCAUUUCUGACAGUACAUGGCAUAACAUUCUCUGCAUGAAUGAAUCAGGAUUCUACCAUAUGAAGAAAAGGGUUUGGAAACUUAGGUGUAUUGUGUAGCUGAUAGUUAUCUGUAUGGCCUGUCCUUUUCAUAUUAUUGUUCUUGGAAAUAUCCAAUUCCACUAUAAACUGAUGUUAAUUGUGUUAAGAUGUUCAAUGAUCUUUUUUUUUAAAAUGCAGGUUAUUUCUCUGUUGUUCCAGAAUGUGGGUUCAGUUGCUUGGUUGAGGUGAUGGCAUCUGGUUCAUAGAGUAUAGGACUGCAUACCAUGAAGCAAGAUAAAAAUGUUGUCAGGUGAAGUGGCGAUUGAUGCAGAAGGAACUACGUUCUAUGGUCAGCAAGCAUUAGUUCCUAAGCUGUUGUGAGAUGUUUAAAUGUUCGAUUCACUUUAUGGAAUCUAUGAACAUUUCAUGUUUAGGCUGUCUAGUUUGUAAUUUAUCCUCUUUUCUAUUACCUAUCCUAUCAUGUGCAUUACAAAGCUUGCUAAUUCUACUCUUUGUUGGCAUAGAAAGAUUUUUGC